CGAGGUGUAGCGCAGUUUGGUAGCGCAUCUGGUUUGGGACCAGAGGGCCGGGGGUUCGAGUCCCUCCACCUCGACCA
rnacentral:tRNA from 1 species